GGGGACAACAGUUGGAAACGACUGCUAAUACCGCAUAAGCGCACAGUACCGCAUGGUACAGUGUGAAAAACUCCGGUGGUGUGAGAUGGACCCGCGUCUGAUUAGCUAGUUGGCAGGGCAACGGCCUACCAAGGCGACGAUCAGUAGCCGACCUGAGAGGGUGACCGGCCACAUUGGGACUGAGACACGGCCCAAACUCCUACGGGAGGCAGCAGUGGGGAAUAUUGCACAAUGGGGGAAACCCUGAUGCAGCGACGCCGCGUGAGCGAAGAAGUAUUUCGGUAUGUAAAGCUCUAUCAGCAGGGAAGAAGAAAUGACGGUACCUGGCUAAGAAGCACCGGCUAAAUACGUGCCAGCAGCCGCGGUAAUACGUAUGGUGCAAGCGUUAUCCGGAUUUACUGGGUGUAAAGGGAGCGCAGGCGGAAGGCUAAGUCUGAUGUGAAAGCCCGGGGCUCAACCCCGGUACUGCAUUGGAAACUGGUCAUCUAGAGUGUCGGAGGGGUAAGUGGAAUUCCUAGUGUAGCGGUGAAAUGCGUAGAUAUUAGGAGGAACACCAGUGGCGAAGGCGGCUUACUGGACGAUAACUGACGCUGAGGCUCGAAAGCGUGGGGAGCAAACAGGAUU
rnacentral:rRNA from 1 species